AGCAGCCGCGGUAAUUCCAGCUCCAAUAGCGUAUAUUAAAGUUGUUGCAGUUAAAGAGCUCGUAGUUGAAUUUCGGGAUCAAUAUAUCGGUCGUGCCUUGGUACGUACUGGUAUCAUUGGUUUCUCCUUUCUGACGAACCAUGAUGUCAUUAAUUUGGUGUUAUGGGAAGUUAGGACUGUUACUUUGAAAAAAUUAGAGUGUUUAAAGCAGGCUUUAGCUUGAAUACAUUAGCAUGGAAUAAUGAAAUAGGACGUUCGAACCUAUUUUGUUGGUUUCUAGGAUCAACGUAAUGAUUAAUAGGGAUAGUUGGGGGCAUUAGUAUUCAAUUGUCAGAGGUGAAAUUCUUGGAUUUAUUGAAGACUAACUACUGCGAAAGCAUUUGCCGAGGAUGUUUUCAUUAAUCAAGAACGAAAGUUAGGGGAUCGAAGACGAUCAGAUACCGUCGUAGUCUUAACCAUAAACUAUGCCGACUAGGGAUCGGAUGAUGUUAAUUUUUUAAUGACUCAUUCGGCGCCUUAC
rnacentral:misc_RNA from 1 species